AUACCUUUCUCGGCCUUUUGGAUAAGAUCAAGUUUAGUAUCUAUUCUUAUCAGUUUAAUAACUGAUAUGUGGGCCAUUAGUACGCACGAUAUUAACUCUAUUUUUUGAGGGGGGGAGGGGGGGCUUUCGCGUGUCGCCUAAGCGUUGCACUACUGCUUGGGCCUGGCUACCCCACC
rnacentral:snRNA from 1 species